UUUCUUCCAAAAGGUACCGUCGCCUGUUAGCACGCCGCCAUUUGUCGUGUUGUCGGUGUGUGGGUGAGGCCGGAAAUUAGCGCCGAAUUAUUGCUCAUCAAAGCACCACCUCCUCGCUGUAGCAGUGGGCGUCGCCGUCACCACAGUAUUGUUCAGGAAGCUCGUGAUAAUGGUACCUAUGGUCCUACGUUGAGGAACGCUCAAUCAAAAAAUGAUAUGAUGAACUUCUUUGGAAUUAAGCGGACUAAGUACAGCUACAUUUGUAUUAUGUGCAUCGCUCAUGCAAGACAGCAGGCCAGGAUGCAGGGACACACAGCUGCAGGGGAUGAGCUGGAGAACCUGCAGCGCAUUCUCCAAGAGACGACGGAAGCCAACGGAGGCCCGCAAAACUUUCCAUCCCAUAAUCGUGAAUGGAGAGCUGGGGGGGG